rnacentral:piRNA from 1 species
UGACUAUGUGAUUUGACUCUAUCUGGUUA